rnacentral:rRNA from 1 species
UACGUAGGGUGCGAGCGUUAAUCGGAAUUACUGGGCGUAAAGCGUGCGUAGGUGGUUUCUUAAGUCCGUUGUGAAAGCCCUGGGCUCAACCUGGGAACUGCAGUGGAUACUGAGAGGCUAGAGUGUGUCAGAGGAUGGUGGAAUUCCCGGUGUAGCGGUGAAAUGCGUAGAGAUCGGGAGGAACAUCAGUGGCGAAGGCGGCCAUCUGGGACAACACUGACGCUGAGGCACGAAAGCGUGGGGAGCAAACAGG